rnacentral:rRNA from 1 species
CUGGUUGAUCCUGCCAGAGGUUACUGCUAUCGAGGUUCGACUAAGCCAUGCGAGUCGAAUGUAGCAAUACAUGGCGUACUGCUCAGUAACACGUGGACAACCUGCCCUUAGGUCGGGUAUAAACCCGGGAAACUGGGUAUAAUCCCCGAUAGGUCUCGGCUGCUGGAAUGCAUCGAGAUUUAAAGCUCCGGCGCCUAAGGAUGGGUCUGCGGCCUAUCAGGUAGUAGUGGGUGUAGCGUACCUACUAGCCUACGACGGGUACGGGUUGUGAGAGCAAGAGCCCGGAGAUGGAUUCUGAGACACGAAUCCAGGCCCUACGGGGUGCAGCAGGCGCGAAAACUUUACAAUGCUGGCAACAGCGAUAAGGGAACCUCGAGUGCCAGGUUACAAAUCUGGCUGUCGAGAUGCCUAAAAAGCAUUUCAUAGCAAGGGCCGGGCAAGACCGGUGCCAGCCGCCGCGGUAACACCGGCGGCUCGAGUGGUAACCGUUAUUAUUGGGUCUAAAGGGUCUGUAACCGGCCGGAUAAGUCUCUUGAGAAAUCUGGCAGCUUAACUGUCAGGCUUUCAGGAGAUACUGUCUGGCUCGAGGCCGGGAGAGGUGAGAGGUACUUCAGGGGUAGGGGUGAAAUCUUGUAAUCCUUGAAGGACCACCAGUGGCGAAGGCGUCUCACCAGAACGGACCUGACGGCAAGGGACGAAAGCUAGGGGCACGAACCGGAUUAGAUACCCGGGUAGCCCUAGCCGUAAACGAUACUCGCUAGGUGUCGGCCACGGUGCGACCGUUGUCGGUGCCGUAGGGAAGCCGUGAAGCGAGCCACCUGGGAAGUACGGCCGCAAGGCUGAAACUUAAAGGAAUUGGCGGGGGAGCACCAC